UACGUAGGGUGCGAGCGUUGUCCGGAAUUACUGGGCGUAAAGAGCUCGUAGGUGGUUUGUCGCGUUGUUCGUGAAAACUCACAGCUCAACUGUGGGCGUGCGGGCGAUACGGGCAGACUGGAGUACUGCAGGGGAGACUGGAAUUCCUGGUGUAGCGGUGGAAUGCGCAGAUAGUCAGGAGGAACACCGGUGGCGAAGGCGGGUCUCUGGGCAGUAACUGACGCUGAGGAGCGAAAGCGUGGGAGCGAACAGG
rnacentral:rRNA from 1 species